UAGGGAAUCUUCCGCAAUGGACGCAAGUCUGACGGAGCAACGCCGCGUGAGUGAAGAAGGAUUUCGGUUCGUAAAACUCUGUUGUUAGAGAAGAACAGCGCAUAGAGUAACUGUUAUGCGUGUGACGGUAUCUAACCAGAAAGCCACGGCUAACUACGUGCCAGCAGCCGCGGUAAUACGUAGGUGGCAAGCGUUGUCCGGAAUUAUUGGGCGUAAAGGGUACGCAGGCGGUUUAAUAAGUCGAAUGUUAAAGAUCGGGGCUCAACCCCGUAAAGCAUUGGAAACUGAUAAACUUGAGUAGUGGAGAGGAAAGUGGAAUUCCUAGUGUAGUGGUGAAAUACGUAGAUAUUAGGAGGAAUACCAGUAGCGAAGGCGACUUUCUGGACACAAACUGACGCUGAGGUACGAAAGCGUGGGGAGCAAACAGG
rnacentral:rRNA from 1 species